CCUACGAGUGGCAGCAGUGAGGAAUAUUGGUCAAUGGACGCGAGUCUGAACCAGCCAAGUAGCGUGAAGGAUGACUGCCCUAUGGGUUGUAAACUUCUUUUAUAUGGGAAUAAAAUGUUCCACGUGUGGGAUUUUGUAUGUACCAUAUGAAUAAGGAUCGUCUAACUCCGUGCCAGCAGCCGCGGUAAUACUGAUGGUCCGAGCGUUAUCCGGAUUUAGUGGGUUUAAAGGGAGCGUAGGUGGUUUGUUAAGUCUGUUUUGAAAGGUCGCGGCUCAACCAUAAAAUUGCAGUUGAAAAUGGCAGUCUUGAGUACAGGAGAGGUGGGCGGAAUUCGUGGUGUAGCGGUGAAAUGCUUAGAUAUCACGAAGAACUCCGAUUGCGAAGGCAGUUCACGGGACUGCAACUGACACUGAGGCUCGAAAGUGUGGGUAUCAAACAGGAUUAGAUACCCGAGUAGUC
rnacentral:rRNA from 1 species